UUCGGUGGUUAUAGCGUCAGGGAAACGCCCGGUCCCAUUCCGAACCCGGAAGCUAAGCCUGACAGCGCCGAUGGUACUGCAACCGAAGGG
rnacentral:rRNA from 1 species